rnacentral:pre_miRNA from 15 species
CACCUGCCCACUUGAUGGCACGACAGCGGGCAACGGAAUCCCAAAAGCAGCUGUCUUCCUCUGAGCAUUCCAGCUGCGGUUGGAUUUCGUUACCUGCUCUCCUGCCCGGGCAUCUGUCAGCCCA